AAGUCAUGUUGAGGGAAAUUUAGUAACAUGCCCUUGUAGCACUGCCAUGCUUCGUAUAACGACUCCCUUAUCAUUUUGUUUGAAAUUUGCAAUGUUCCUUUUCACCUU